rnacentral:rRNA from 1 species
GACGUAGGGCGCGAGCGUUGUCCGGAUUUAUUGGGCGUAAAGAGCUCGUAGGCGGCUUGUUGCGUCAGCUGUGAAAACCCGCAGCUCAACUGUGGGCUUGCAGCUGAUACGGGCAGGCUUGAGUUCGGUAGGGGAGACUGGAAUUCCUGGUGUAGCGGUGAAAUGCGUAGAUAUCAGGAGGAACACCGGCGGCGAAGGCGGCUUCCUGGCCCAUUACUGACGUUCAGGUACGAAAGCGUGGGUAGCAAACAGG